rnacentral:rRNA from 1 species
AUCAACUUUCGAUGGUAGGAUAGAGGCCUACCAUGGUGGUAACGGGUAACGGGGUGUUAGGGCACGACACCGGAGAAGGAGCCUGAGAAACGGCUACCACAUCCAAGGAUGGCAGCAGGCGCGCAAAUUACCCAAUCCCGACACGGGGAGGUAGUGACAAUAAAUAACAAUACGGGGUUCUUUAGGAUCUCGUAAUUGGAAUGAGUACAAUUUAAAUCUCUUAACGAGGAACAAUUGGAGGGCAAGUCUGGUGCCAGCAGCCGCGGUAAUUCCAGCUCCAAUAGCGUAUAUUAAAGUUGUUGCAGUUAAAAAGCUCGUAGUUGAAUUUCGGGGUUAGUAGGUUGGUCAUGCCUCUGGUAUGUACUGAUCUCACUGAUUCCUCCUUCCUUAUGAACCGUAAUGCCAUUAAUUUGGUGUUGCGGGGAAUUUGGACUGUUACUUUGAAAAAAUUAGAGUGUUUAAAGCAGGCUAACGCUUGAAUACAUUAGCAUGGAAUAAUGAAAUAGGACGUUCGAUCUUAUUUUGUUGGUUUCUAGGAUUGACGUAAUGAUUAAUAGGGAUAGUUGGGGGCAUUAGUAUUCAAUUGUCAGAGGUGAAAUUCUUGGAUUUAUUGAAGACUAACUACUGCGAAAGCAUUUGCCAAGGAUGUUUUCAUUAAUCAAGAACGAAAGUUAGGGGAUCGAAGACGAUCAGAUACCGUCGUAGUCUUAACCAUAAACUAUGCCGACUAGGGAUCGGAUGAUGUUAAUUUUUUAAUGACUCAUUCGGCGCCUUACGGGAAACCAAAGUGUUUGGGUUC